UUACGGCCACAUCACGUUGAAACAGCGGUUCCGAUUCGAUCACGGAAGUGAAGCUAGGUCGAGCCUGGUCAGUACCUAGACGGGUGACCAAUUGGGAAUAACAAUUGCUGUAC